GACGAACGCUGGCGGCGUGCUUAACACAUGCAAGUCGAACGAACAGGCCAUGCUUUUGUUGGGUGCUCGAGUGGCGAACGGGGGAGUGACACAUGAGUAUCCUGCCCUUGACUUUGGGAUAACUUCAGGGAACUCGGGAGAAUACAGGGGAGAAGCUACUGAUGCAUAGGGGGGGUUGGAGAGUUUCGGCGUUGGGGGAUGGACUCGCGGCUUAUGCGCUUGUUGGUCGGGUAGUGGCUUACCAAGGCUUUGACGGGUAGCCGGCCUGAGAGGGUGACCGGCCACAUUGGGACUGAGAUACGGCCCAGACUCCUACGGGAGGCAGCAGUCGGGAAUAUGGCACAACGGGCGGAAGCCUGAUGCAGCAACGCCGCGUGCGGGAUGACGGCCUUCGGGUUGUAAACCGCUUUCGCCUGUGACGAAGCGGGAGUGACGGUAAUGGGUAAAGAAGCACCGGCUAACUACGUG
rnacentral:rRNA from 1 species